UAAUGAGUAGUAAAUGAGACUUCCGGUUUGUGUUUGUUGAUUAACACAUGUGGAGUUUCUUCUCAUAAGCUUUUGGGCAGUAGAAGUUCGUUUUUCCGAUUGUUUUUUGGUUGCAUUUUAUUUAUCUGUGUGUGUCCUUUGUGUUUUGUGUUUGUGAGCGUCAAAUUUUCCGGUAGCCAACAAAAUAUUGAAGGAAACGGUUUUAGUUAAUGCCUUUUAGAUACCCAUGUGCAAUCACUACACGACGCUGGCAGAAAUUGUUGUAAAGAACAGCAGAUUGCCAUAAAACAAAAAAAAAAAAAAAAAAA